rnacentral:rRNA from 1 species
UGGGGAAUAUUGCACAAUGGGGGAAAUCCUGAUGCAGCGACGCCGCGUGAAGGAAGAAGUAUCUCGGUAUGUAAACUUCUAUCAGCAGGGAAGAUAGUGACGGUACCUGACUAAGAGCCCCGGCUAACUACGUGCC